rnacentral:rRNA from 1 species
GCGGCGUGCUAUACAUGCAGUCGUACGCUUCUUUUUCCACCGGAGCUUGCUCCACCGGAAAAAGAAGAGUGGCGAACGGGUGAGUAACACGUGGGUAACCUGCCCAUCAGAAGGGGAUAACACUUGGAAACAGGUGCUAAUACCGUAUAACAAUCGAAACCGCAUGGUUUUGAUUUGAAAGGCGCUUUCGGGUGUCGCUGAUGGAUGGACCCGCGGUGCAUUAGCUAGUUGGUGAGGUAACGGCUCACCAAGGCCACGAUGCAUAGCCGACCUGAGAGGGUGAUCGGCCACAUUGGGACUGAGACACGGCCCAAACUCCUACGGGAGGCAGCAGUAGGGAAUCUUCGGCAAUGGACGAAAGUCUGACCGAGCAACGCCGCGUGAGUGAAGAAGGUUUUCGGAUCGUAAAACUCUGUUGUUAGAGAAGAACAAGGAUGAGAGUAACUGUUCAUCCCUUGACGGUAUCUAACCAGAAAGCCACGGCUAACUACGUGCCAGCAGCCGCGGUAAUACGUAGGUGGCAAGCGUUGUCCGGAUUUAUUGGGCGUAAAGCGAGCGCAGGCGGUUUCUUAAGUCUGAUGUGAAAGCCCCCGGCUCAACCGGGGAGGGUCAUUGGAAACUGGGAGACUUGAGUGCAGAAGAGGAGAGUGGAAUUCCAUGUGUAGCGGUGAAAUGCGUAGAUAUAUGGAGGAACACCAGUGGCGAAGGCGGCUCUCUGGUCUGUAACUGACGCUGAGGCUCGAAAGCGUGGGGAGCAAACAGGAUUAGAUACCCUGGUAGUCCACGCCGUAAACGAUGAGUGCUAAGUGUUUGGAAGGUUUCCGCCCUUCAGUGCUGCAGCUAACGCAUUAAGCACUCCGCCUGGGGAGUACGACCGCAAGGUUGAAACUCAAAGGAAUUGACGGGGGCCCGCACAAGCGGUGGAGCAUGUGGUUUAAUUCGAAGCAACGCGAAGAACCUUACCAGGUCUUGACAUCCUUUGACCACUCUAGAGAUAGAGCUUCCCCUUCGGGGGCAAAAUGACAGGUGGUGCAUGGUUGUCCUCACCUCCUGUCCUGAGAAGUUUGGGUUAAUUCCCCCACCAACGCAACCCUUAUUGUUAUUUGCCUCCAUUCAGUUGGGGACUCUUUCAAGAAAUGCGGUGACAAACCGAAGAAAAGUGGGGGUUGAAAUCCAAUCAUCAAGGCCCC